GACGAACGCUGGCGGCGUGCCUAAUACAUGCAAGUCGAGCGAACGGACGAGAAGCUUGCUUUUUUGAUGUUAGCGGCGGACGGGUGAGUAACACGUGGAUAACCUACCUAUAAGACUGGGAUAACUUCGGGAAACCGGAGCUAAUACCGGAUAAUAUCUUGAUCCGCAUGGUUCAGAAGUGAAAGACGGCCUUGCUGUCACUUAUAGAUGGAUCCGCGCUGCAUUAGCUAGUUGGUAAGGUAACGGCUUACCAAGGCAACGAUGCCUAGCCGACCUGAGAGGGUGAUCGCCCACACUGGAACUGGGACACGGCCCAGAGGCCUACGGGAGGCAGAAGAAGGGAAUCUUCGGCAGUGGGCGAAAGCCUGACGAAGCAAGGCGGCGUGGGGGAUAAAGUCCUCGGGAUCGUAAGGCUGGUUUAUUGGGGAGAAACAGAUGUGUAAGAAGAUGUGGACAGCUUGACGGUACCUGAUCAGAAAGCCACGGCUAACUACGUG
rnacentral:rRNA from 1 species